rnacentral:tRNA from 1 species
GCGGGUAUCGUAUAACGGCUAUUAUUUUUGGUUUCCAACCAAACGAUGUGGGUUCGAUUCCCACUACCCGCU